rnacentral:rRNA from 1 species
AUUGAACGCUGGCGGCAGGCCUAACACAUGCAAGUCGAGCGGCAGCGGGAAAGUAGCUUGCUACUUUUGCCGGCGAGCGGCGGACGGGUGAGUAAUGCCUGGGAAAUUGCCCAGUCGAGGGGGAUAACAGUUGGAAACGACUGCUAAUACCGCAUACGCCCUACGGGGGAAAGCAGGGGACCUUCGGGCCUUGCGCGAUUGGAUAUGCCCAGGUGGGAUUAGCUAGUUGGUGAGGUAAUGGCUCACCAAGGCGACGAUCCCUAGCUGGUCUGAGAGGAUGAUCAGCCACACUAGAACUGAGACACGGUCCAGACUCCUACGGGAGGCAGCAGUGGGGAAUAUUGCACAAUGGGGGAAACCCUGAUGCAGCCAUGCCGCGUGUGUGAAGAAGGCCUUCGGGUUGUAAAGCACUUUCAGCGAGGAGGAAAGGUUGAUGCCUAAUACGCAUCAACUGUGACGUUACUCGCAGAAGAAGCACCGGCUAACUCCGUGCCAGCCGCCGCGGUAA